AUGUUGUACGAAAGGAGAGGAGGUUAGCACUCCCCUUGGUAAGGACGGACAACACAUAUACUAUCAAGGCACAGUCGCCCAAACAACACCCGACACCAUUUUGC